GUUCUCGGCUAAUGAGUGACAAUAUACUCGAUGCCCAAGGCAAUCUAAGUCAUCUUCCAAGUGGGGAGUUUGUUUUGGGUUUUCUAAAGCGAACGAUCUGCGGCAACAUCGGCAAAGACGCGGCAUUGACGAAAGUCACGCCACGUCUCGAUGUUGUUGACCCGUCUCCUGAUUUCGGAUCUCUUGUUUCGUUUGCCGAUGACAUUCAUUAGAUGGUGUGGCCAUGGCAGGUAGCUUGGUGAUCUUAGCUUGACUUUGAUCUUAGUUUUAAGCUUAACCGGUUUUCUUCACGAGGCCCGCACGAUCGGUCUAAUUGUAUGGCAUGUUCUUGUUUGAUUGUUGCCUUACGAUUGUAUUGUUAGUGUGACCGAUGACAUGAUGUGACUUGUUAAUCUUAAAACUUGUCAUGGCGACUUGGCGUUGUUGCAUUUGUUGACGAGUGUUGUUGAACGGUGAUGCAAGGGUUCCUCGCAUCGGUCGGUGCAUUCUGGGGUCAUUUUAGCUAUUGGCGGCUUGCCUCGCAUUUGAGCUUGGUGGGUGGCUGUUAGUUGGGUGGUUUCGGGGAUGUCUACCGUAAAGGUGCAUGAGUGGUGUUUGGUUUGUUACGGGUGGUUGGCUCUUUGCUUGCGCAACAACUUCCACCUGGCAUACCUCUUCAGUCUUGCGUCAAUGCUUGUAUUGCAUUGAAUUGCACGGUGGGUUUCUUGUGUUGCAUGCCUAAUUGACGGUAUCAUUUGAUGAAUUGAUGUCCAGUUUCGUCUUGUGUUGCACAUGUAGUGUGAGAUGAACCUUGAUGCAGCCUUUGUGAUCCACUCUUUCGAUGCACACGCAUUGAUUUUGUGGCCCACUGAGUGUUGCUUGGUCUCACGGAUAUGGAACCUUUUGUGGGCAUUGGAUCUUUUACUAGUUCCUUGUUUGCCCUAGUUAAGCUUUUCAAAUACGAUUUCCUAUCAUGUCUUAACGUGAUAGGCUAUAUCGAU
rnacentral:misc_RNA from 1 species